AGGACUGUAGUUAAAUAUAACAUUUGUUUUGCAUACAAAAAGUAUUGAUUACUCAAUCUGUCUUA
rnacentral:tRNA from 1 species